GUACACAUGUGUGAUGACACAACUUUUUUCCCCAUCAGAUCAACCAUGUUGAUCACAUUCUUUUAAGCCAGUAUCUUGUUUAU
ensembl:snoRNA Gm24123 predicted gene, 24123